AUUGAACGCUGGCGGCAGGCCUAACACAUGCAAGUCGAGCGGAGAGGCGGACGGGGGAGUAAUGCCGAGGAAUAUGCCUGGUAGUGGGGGAUAACGUCCGGAAACGGGAGAUAAUACAGCAUACUAUCAGAUGGGCCUAGGUCGGAGUAGCUAGUGGGUGGGGUAAAGGCUUACCAAGGAGACGUUCCGUAACUGUCCUAAGAGGCUGAUCAGUCAACCUGGACCUGAGACACUGUCCAGAGUCCUACGGGAGGCAGCAUUGGGGAACAUUGGACAAUUGGCGAAAGCCUGAUCCAGCCAUGCCGCGUGUGUGAAGAAGGUCUUCGGAUUGUAAAGCACUUUAAGUUGUGAGGCGUUACCAACAGAAUAAGCACCGGCUAACUUCGUGCCAGCCGCCGCGGUAAUAC
rnacentral:rRNA from 1 species